rnacentral:rRNA from 1 species
CCUACGGGAGGCAGCAGUGAGGAAUAUUGGUCAAUGGGCGCGAGCCUGAACCAGCCAAGUAGCGUGAAGGAUGACUGCCCUACGGGUUGUAAAGCUCUUUCGGACGUGACGAUGAUGACGGUAGCGUCUAAAGAAGCACCGGCAAACUUCGUGCCAGCAGCCGCGGUAAUACGAAGGGUGCGAGCGUUGUUCGGAAUUACUGGGCGUAAAGGGAGUGUAGGCGGAUAUGUAAGAUAGCGGUGAAAUGCCGGGGCUCAACCCCGGAACUGCCAUUAUGACUAUGUAUCUAGAGUAAUGGAGAGGAUAGCGGAAUACCCAGUGUAGAGGUGAAAUUCGUAGAUAUUGGGUAGAACACCGGUGGCGAAGGCGGCUAUCUGGCCAUUUACUGACGCUGAGGCUCGAAAGCAUGGGGAUCAAACAGGAUUAGAUACCCGGGUAGUC